rnacentral:rRNA from 1 species
UACGUAGGGUGCAAGCNUUAAUCGGAAUUACUGGGCGUAAAGCGUGCGCAGGUGGUCAUGUAAGUCAGAUGUGAAAUCCCCGGGCUCGACCUGGGAAUGGCAUUUNAGACUGCACGACUAGAGGAUGGCAGAGGGGGGUAGAAUUCCACGUGUAGCAGUGAAAUGCGUAGAGAUGUGGAGGAAUACCGAUGGCGAAGGCAGCCCCCUGGGCUAUAACUGACACUCAUGCACAAAGCGUGGGGAGCAAACAGGAUUAGAUACCCUGGUAGUCCACGGCCUAAACGAUGUCAACU